CACAGCUGCCCUGGGGCAGACUGACAGAAGCGAGGCUGCCAUAUCGGGCCAUCAGCCCCUCUGGCCAUCACCAGUAGGCGGUAGGGAUUUUACAUGAUGUCCACAAACGCACCACUGACAUCCACACCUUCCCAGUUAACAAUUAGCAGGCUUAUAAGAAACAGCUGCGCUUCACUACCAGAAGGAGGCAUUUGGCAGUCUUGUCCAUCCGAGGUGGCUGCAAGCAUUAGGCAGCUAAGCGCUGCAGAUCUCUCCAGGAAAGCUACUCAGUUUAGUAUUGCCCUUUAGAGAGUGGUAAGUGGGACUCUUGCGUUAUCAUAAUGUGGCAUGUAGUAGGGUGGACUUUGACAACUGUUUCCCUCUUUUGUUGCAGGUGUGCACUAUACUGCUGCUGUCUUGUCAUAUACUGUUUUGUUUGUUAUGCAAUGCUUUUAUAAUGAACAGUAAUUUGGGUUGUAUUUGUUUUAUGUAGAUCUUUUACUAAUUUGUUUAACGUUUUAUCCUUUCUUUUAUUGCUUUAGUGGAGGUGUGGCCGCUUGUUGAGGGGCUAGGCACGUGAGGUGGAAUCCCCUCCCCGAUGCAUGCGAGCGUACACACCGGGCAUAGGUAGACUGCACCAUUUAGAGUUUAGUGUGAGUGAGGUCUGCAGUGAAAUCACACGGGUGAGUAAUUGGUGGCACGCUUGGGCACUCCUCCCUGUAGGUUGCCUCCUCAAGUGGCCAGUCUCCACCAUUUUUAGUUAUUCUUUUAUCAUGUUGUGAUUGUUUUUAGGGUAGCAUCGUGGUAGGGAGUCUGGUCGUUUUCAUCAUCGGUUGUUAAUAAAGUGUCUUAAUGAUCUAUUUUGCCAUCUCAACCCUGCUACCUUAGGUGCCUUUUUGAUUUUAUAAUUCUGUUUUUAGUAGUUCUUCUUAAUAAACUUUGAUUUGUAAAAAUUCACCUGCCUCACCUCUGCUGUUAAUAACGAGUCUGUGGGCUUUAGUUGCCAGUGUAACAUUUACAUUGGCUAGAGAAAUCUUUCCUGGGGUGUAACUCCCUCCUCCAGGUGGCGUUGUCAACAUCUUAGAUACCGUUCCCGGUUAUUCCUCAAUCGCGCCACCACAUUAAGGAAAACGAUUAUGUGAUCAAUAACAGAAUGUCAUUUUACAGCUCACCGGUGGCCCCAGGGCAAGUUUCUCUUCAACAAACAAGCGUUAUUUGUCACAUACACAAUCAUAUGGAGUCCACCAUGCAGUGAAAUGCUUGGGCCCGAGCUUCGGACAUAGCCUCACCAUUCCAGGGCUUGGUUUUUUAGCAUAGACCCUUACCAGCUACUGGGUGGGAACUGAACUUGUAACUCCCGCUCCGAAGGUUUGUAGUCUUACUGUUAUGCCUCCAGAAAUGUGUUUUCUACCUUGUUAUCACAGUUUAGAGUGACUUGUUUAUUUUCGUAACCAUGACAACAUAGAAGCAGUGCACGCUGGGAGUCAGGAAGUAAAUUUACCGUGUGGCUCUGGAUAUUGUUGUGUGGGCUCACGCAGUCGUCAGCUCCACAGUUACAGGUUUAAUCCUUUUUCCCUCUGCUAAGGCAAAGUCUGUGAGUAUAAUUCAUUUUGUACAAUUAAGCGGCGAAGCGUUUUGAACUGUUGUCUGUUAUUCGGUUAGCUUUGUUGUGUCUCAUAUAAGCUAUGCGGCUAGUCUGGCAAGCUGUGAUAAUUAGCCAGAUGCUUUGAGUUUAUCGCAUUGAUAAUACAUUUCAUAUUUCAUUGUAUUGUGUUUACAGUUUCACAAAUGCCCAGUAAACCUCCUGGAAUUGAACCGUCUGUGUCCUGGAGUUUUUGGGAGUGUUUAAGCUGAAUGGAAACUUAGCCCAAGACAGUGAAAAGACUGCAACGCAGCUAACAGGGCAUACGAGGAUCGCCACCAUACGGAGCUACUCAAUACCAAGAGAUAAGCGGCUUCCACUACAGCUUCUAGAGAGCUUCGCAACAGCCUUCUUCUCCCGAUACUGGAGACCCAGCGAUACGUAAUGUCACAACGUAGCAAUGCUAACAAAGGAAAUGGAGACAACCAGUCAGAGUGUGUGCGCUCAAGGAGCAGUCGCUCAUCUGGUACAUCGUCUGGCUCAAAAAUCAGCAUAGCCAUCGCCAUGGCAAAGGCAAAAGCUGAAGCCGCGCAAGCUAGAGCGGCACAUUCAAAAAGGGAAAUUGAGCUUAAAGUGGAGCAAGCACGUAUUCAAGCCAGCCUUGACGCAUUAAUCAACGAAAAGGAUGCCGCUGUGGCAGAGGUGAACUCCCUAGUAGCUGGUUUACAAGAUAUGGGUCUCGAAGUACGCAGCGAAGCUAACAGCCUGGUCUCCCAGUCUAUCAAAGACCAGCGCGUCGCUGCCUUUGUCUCCGAGCAAGCCAGCCUAUGCAACAAGGGUUUAUCAGCUACAGGAGAUAACCUUCCACCUUCUCGACCAGUCACCCACCCACAUAAUGCGGGCCAAACCCAAGCUGCCGCUUCUGCUGCUAUUAUGCCACACCAUGCUCUUCAGGCCCCUCGGAAAAGCGAGGCACCGUUACGACAAGGCUUCAAGUCGCCCUUCUACCCCCCUCCAACUCCCCAAUUUAGUGGAACACUUCCGCAGCAGAACCCCAGUCAGGAUUUCACGUCUCCUGCGCACCAGCCCGUUCAUGGGACGCUUUACAGAGGUGACCACGACCAUUCUACAACCACCGGGGACCUCAUCAAAUAUCUUGCUCGCAACCACUUGGUGACUUCAGGUCUCACCACAUAUGACGACCAGCCAAUAAACUACUGGGCCUGGAAAACAUCGUUCCAGAACGCCAUUGCCAAUCUAGACCUGUCUGCCGCAGAAGAACUCAACCUCCUAACCAAACACUUGGGAAAAGAGUCAGCAGAACAGGUAAGAAGAAUAAAAGCAGUCAACAUUAGGAAUCCAACUACUGGACUGUACACGGCAUGGGGGCGCCUCGACGAAGUAUAUGGCUCGCCAGAAGCCGUUGAACAAGCUCUGUUCAGCAAACUAGAAAGCUUUCCAAAGCUCACAACAAAGGAUCCACAGAGGCUCCGGGAUCUAGCUGACCUGUUGUCAGAGCUACAAGUCGCCAAGGAAGAUGGCUACCUCGCAGGCCUGUCGUACUUGGAUACCUCCAGAGGAAUUAAGCCCAUCAUCGAGAAACUCCCAUACAAUAUACAAGAAAAGUGGCUAUACCACGGGACAAGAUACAAACAAGAACACUUCGUCAGCUUCCCACCUUUCUCUGUGUUGGUGAACUUCAUCUGCACCGAGGCGAAAGCACGUACGAACCCAAGUUUCAACCUCUUCAUGCAAGCUCCAGCCGAGAGAAGGAAUAAAUGGGAGAGGCCCACGAAGACGUCCGUUCACGUCCACAAGACACAGGUCUCAGGAACUGCCAAGUCUGAGUCUAAAGAAAGCAGGGAACGUAUCGACCCGAAUAAACAUGGCCCCCUGCACAAAAAGCCCCAUCCUCUGAGGAAAUGCAGAGGUUUCCGUGAGAAGAGCUUAGAUGAUCGCAAACAGCUUUUGAAAGAACACUACGUCUGCUUUCGCUGUUGCUCGUCAACAGACAAUCUUGCAAAGAACUGCACAGCCGAGAUAACAUGUACUGAGUGUGGGAGCACCGCUCACGUGACAGUGAAGUCGUUCCCUUCCACUUCAGAGGAUAGCGGGGAGGAGGACAAAGCGGAUAACCAGGAGGUCAAGUCAACGUGCACACAGGUAUGUGGGGAAGGUCUGAGUGCCAGAGCGUGUGCUAAGAUCUGCCUCGUCAGGGUGUUCCCAAACGGACGCAGAGGGGAAUCCAAGAGAAUGUACGCUAUAUUGGAUGAGCAGAGUAACCGCUCCCUCGCGCGGUCAGAGUUCUUCGAAGCCUUUAAGAUCUCCGGGCGCUCUUACUCAUACACACUAAAGACCUGCGCAGGACGUACGGAGACAUCAGGGAGGAGAGCCAGCGGCUACACCAUAGAGCCAGUGGAUAAGAAAUUGAGUAUUUCUCUGCCUACACUCCUCGAGCGCAACCAAAUCCCUAAUGUCCGUGCGGAGAUUCCUACCCCCGAUGCAGCCUACCAUCAUGCCCACCUAAAACGCAUCGCUGACAAGAUACCACCUCCGGACCCAGACGCCAACAUUCUUCUCUUACUGGGCAGAGAUAUCUUACGGGUCCACAAGGUCCGAGAGCAGAUAAGUGGCCCAGGAGAUGCACCCUUUGCCCAAAGGCUUGACCUAGGGUGGGUCGUCGUUGGGGAUGUGUGCCUUGGAGGUGCUCACAGACCACUGGAGGUGAGAAGUUACAAAACAGCCGUUCUAGGAAACGGUCGUACAAGUCAUUUCCAGCCAUGCAACAACCAGAUCAAAGUGACAGAGGUGUUUGGACAAUCACGUAACCAUCAACAUCAUCCAGCGCUAACCUCGACGAUGCUAAUUGGAGACAACUUGGGGCAAACUGUCUUUGCUCGCACUCCCAACGACCACAAACUUGCUCCAUCCAUGGAAGAUCUAGAGUUUCUGAAAAUAAUGGAAGCCGAGUGUUACCAGGACAGCUCCAAAAGUUGGGUCGCACCUUUGCCGUUUAGGUCACCGAGACGGCGACUCCCCAACAACAGGAAACAGGUUCUUGAACGCCUCGUCUCACUUCGGCGCUCACUGGAAAAACGACCACGGAUGAAAGCUGAUUUCCUAGAGUUUAUGGAGAAGAUGCUCAAGAAGGCACACGCAGAAGUUGCCCCACCCAUGCAACCUGGACAGGAGUGUUGGUACUUGCCCCUGUUCGGUGUGUAUCACCCUCGGAAGCCAGACAAGAUCCGCGUGGUCUUCGACAGCAGUGCAUCUUAUGAGGGAGUAUCGCUCAAUGAUGUUUUACUCACUGGUCCCGAUCUUAAUAACAGCCUACUAGGUGUUCUUAUGAGGUUUAGGAAGGAACAGGUUGCAAUCACUGCCGACAUCGAGCACAUGUUCCACUGCUUCAUCGUGAAAGAGGACCACCGGGAUUUUCUCCGUUUCCUGUGGUAUAGAGACAAUGACCCUACCUGCGACAUCGUGGACUACAGGAUGCGGGUUCAUCGUUUUGGUAACAGCCCCUCGCCCGCGGUUGCAGUGUAUGGCUUGCGGCGGGUGGCUAAGGCAGCAGAGGCUGACUACGGCAGUGAUGCAAGGAGAUUCAUCGACCGCGAUUUCUAUGUCGACGAUGCCUUAAAGUCCUUCAGCACAGAGGAAGAAGGCAUCGCAGUUCUCCAACGAGCGCAGAAGAUGCUUGCGGCUUCUAACCUCAGGCUGCACAAGAUUGCAUCAAAUCGGUCUGCAGUCAUCAGAGCAUUCCCCCCCCAGGAUCACUCUCAGGAUUUCAAUAGCCUAGAUCUCUUCAUUGAUGAUCUGCCUAUCCAGCGUAGCCUGGGACUGUUCUGGAACAUGCGCACAGACACCUUCACGUUUCAGAUCGAGGUCGAUCAGAAGCCGUUCACCCGCAGAGGGGUACUCUCAACCGUGAACAGCCUCUACGACCCCCUAGGGUUUCUCGCACCCAUCACAGUUAAUGGAAGACUGAUACUCAGAGAACUCACCAUGCAAGCGGAGGAUUGGGACGCACCUCUCCCCAAAGACAUGGAGAUUGAGUGGACUAGAUGGAAACAGUCACUCCAAGACCUGGAGGGGCUCCAAAUACCACGCCCUUAUACGUCCCUCUCCACCACAGGUGCCCUAAGAAGAGAACUCUGUGUCUUCGCGGACGCAUCGGUCAAAGCAAUAGCAGCCGUGGCCUACAUCAGGGUAACCAGCAAGCAGGGACAGACUGAGAUUGGCUUUGUCUUUGGGAAGGCAAAGUUGGCUCCCCAACCUGGCUUAACUAUCCCUAGACUUGAACUUUGCGCCGCUGUGCUCGCUGUCGAGAUCGCCGAGAUGAUAGUUGCAGAGAUGGACACAACAUUUGAUAACAUCACCUAUUACACAGAUAGCAAAGUUGUACUGGGGUACAUCCACAACCAGUCAAGGAGAUUUUAUGUCUACGUACACAACAGGGUUCAACGAAUUCUUCAGUCACCUUGUCCCGGCCAGUGGAAGUACAUCCCAACGCAUCUCAACCCAGCUGACGUUGGGUCAAGAACUGUAGCAUCAGCCCUGCUUAGCAGCACACCAUGGCUCAAAGGACCAGCCUUUCUCUGUGACGCAUCAGGGCAUCCAUCUGAGCUUCAAGAGACUUACAAUCUUGUCGACCCUGACAUCAAUGCCGAAGUGCGUCCACAGGUGACGACAAGACUCACCCAUGUUGCCAAAGGUGUGGUACGCCCACAACGCUUUGAACGCUUCUCCAAGUUCAGCACACUCCGUGUAGCCAUCGCACACUUGAUCCACGUAGCUCGCUCCUCUGCUCGCUUGAUUCGGAACGAAUGUCAAGGCUGGCACAUUUGUUGUCCUACAGAAGAAGAGCUGCUGAAAGCCGAAGUGUGCAUUGUAAAGAGUGUCCAGGGUGAGUGUUACGCAGAGGAGCUCAAGUGCAUCAACUCGGGAACCAACAUACCAUCUUCUAGCAGCUUGUGGAGAUUGCACCCCAUUGUAGACCAAGAUCGACUACUUAGGGUAGGAGGUCGGAUCGAGCAGUCAGGCUUAGGCAUGAACGAGACUCAUCCCAUCAUCAUUCCUGGCCGGCAUCACCUCGCCACUGUGCUUGUGUCUCACUAUCACGAAGCAGUGAAACACCAAGGGAGACAUCUUACUGAAGGUGCCAUUCGAGCUGCAGGGUUUUGGCUCGUGGGAGCCAAACGCUGUAUCAGCAGUCUGCUUUACAGAUGUAUCACUUGUAGGAAACUGAGAGGGAAGGCCGAACAUCAACAGAUGGCAGCCCUACCGGCAGAACGGCUACAAGUAGCGCCUCCCUUCACCUACGUAGGUGUCGAUGUCUUUGGACCAUGGGACGUCGUUUCACGCCGCACAAGAGGAGGAGUCUCCAACUCCAAGCGAUGGGCGGUGAUGUUCUCGUGCAUGUGUUCCAGGGCAGUGCAUAUUGAGGUGAUUGAAGCGAUGAGUGCUAGCAGCUUUAUCAAUGCCUUGAGGAGAUUCUUUGCGGUCAGGGGCCCCGCGAAGCAGAUACGCUCGGACUGCGGAACUAACUUCGUCGGCGCCUCCCGUGAGCUGGAGAUGGACAAGAUAAAUCCAGGUUUUGACAGUGUGGAGAAGUACCUCAACAAACAGAGCUGCACCUGGGUGCACUCUUAAAACAGGUCCCACGCCUCCUUUACCGUCAGGCAAGUUCGAGGAAGCAGAUCUCUUCAGAGAGGAGUGGAAACAAGUUCAGGGCUUAGCAGACAUGUUUUGGAACAGGUGGAGGCGUGAAUACCUCAAAACACUGCAACUUCGGCACAAGUGGCAAGGGAAACAGCCGAGCCUUCAAGAAGGGGACAUAGUUCUCCUAAAAGAUAAUCAAGCAGAGAGAAAUGAGUGGCCCAUGGGCAUCAUCACGAAAACCUUUCCAGGGAAGGAUGGAUUGGUCCGGAAAGUCGAAGUGGAAGUCGUCAAGGAUGGAGAUAGGAAAGGAUUCUCUCGUCCCAUUACAGAAGUAGUUCUGCUUCUUUCUCCAAAGUCUGAUUCUGCCAAUUAAUGUGGGCUCUUUAAAGACCCCAAGCGGGGAGUGUUAUGCCUCCAGAAAUGUGUUUUCUACCUUGUUAUCACAGUUUAGAGUGACUUGUUUAUUUUCGUAACCAUGACAACAUAGAAGCAGUGCACGCUGGGAGUCAGGAAGUAAAUUUACCGUGUGGCUCUGGAUAUUGUUGUGUGGGCUCACGCAGUCGUCAGCUCCACAGUUACAGGUUUAAUCCUUUUUCCCUCUGCUAAGGCAAAGUCUUUUCACAAAUGCCCAGUAAACCUCCUGGAAUUGAACCGUCUGUGUCCUGGAGUUUUUGGGAGUGUUUAAGCUGAAUGGAAACUUAGCCCAAGACACUUACCACUAGACUAUCCAGCUACUUUUCUUGAGUGAGCCAUACAUUCACACAUCAUAAACCAUUCACUCAUACUUCGUACAGUGUAGUAUUGUAUAAAUCAUGGUGUUGUACAAGAGAAGUCCAAUAAAACCUUAAAACCAUGUUUGUGGAAACUAAAAGAAGACUCAGGGCUCCAACGGCAUUGAGGCUGGGAACUCUACUUUGAAUAUUUCUGCAAAUUAGAGAUUUCAGUUUUUGCUUUUAGUGCUUAACAUGCAGCCGCACCUGCAGCUCAUCAAGCCAUCACCAGCUGCACUGAUUACCUUCUCCAUGGGUGUCCUAUUUAGCAGUGCGGCUGAGCUACAGUCAAUGCUGUGUUAUUGAGUUUACCCUUGUUAGUAUGGCUGUGUUCCUCGGUGUUUUUUUGAACCUCGCUUGUUGUGGAUACCUUUGCCGACGUGUGUUUGUUUUUGUCACCAGGGGUCAGGGGCGGAGCCUUUUUCUUCACUUGGACGGAGUCACGGAUUGGGAGCACAAGAGGGAAGUGUGUGUGUUGGAGCACGGAUUGUUUGGAACUGUUUUUACGUAUAGAUCUCCAGUGUUGGGGAGUAACGGAAUACAUGUACCGCCGUUACGUAUUCAGAAUACAAAAUAUGAGUAACUGUAUUCCGUUACAGUUACCGUUUAAAAAGGUGGUAUUCAGAAU